rnacentral:rRNA from 1 species
GAUUUAAAGAGCUUGCUCAGAUAUGACGAUGGACAUUGCAAAGAGUGGCGAACGGGUGAGUAACACGUGGGAAACCUACCUCUUAGCAGGGGAUAACAUUUGGAAACAGAUGCUAAUACCGUAUAACAAUGACAACCGCAUGGUUGUUAUUUGAAAGAUGGUUCUGCUAUCACUAAGAGAUGGUCCCGCGGUGCAUUAGCUAGUUGGUAAGGUAAUGGCUUACCAAGGCGAUGAUGCAUAGCCGAGUUGAGAGACUGAUCGGCCACAAUGGGACUGAGACACGGCCCAUACUCCUACGGGAGGCAGCAGUAGGGAAUCUUCCACAAUGGGCGAAAGCCUGAUGGAGCAACGCCGCGUGUGUGAUGAAGGGUUUCGGCUCGUAAAACACUGUUGUAAGAGAAGAAUGACAUUGAGAGUAACUGUUCAAUGUGUGACGGUAUCUUACCAGAAAGGAACGGCUAAAUACGUGCCAGCAGCCGCGGUAAUACGUAUGUUCCAAGCGUUAUCCGGAUUUAUUGGGCGUAAAGCGAGCGCAGACGG